GCGAGUGAAGAGGGAAGAGCCCAAGAUUGAAAGCUGGCGUCUUCGGCGUCCGCAUUGUAAUCUCAAGAAGUGUUUUCCGCUUCGGACCAUGCCUAAGUCCCUUGGAAAAGGGCAUCAUAGAGGGUGAUAAUCCCGUACAUGGCAUGGAGCGCCCGAAGCUUUGUGAUACGCUUUCUAAGAGUCGAGUUGUUUGGGAAUGCAGCUCAAAAUGGGUGGUAAAUGCCAUCUAAGGCUAAAUAUUGGGGAGAGACCGAUAGCGAACAAGUACAGUGAUGGAAAGAUGAAAAGAACUUUGAAAAGAGAGUUAAACAGUACGUGAAAUUGCCAAAAGGGAAGGGUAGGAGGUCAGAGAUGCGGCCUGGGAUUCAGCCUUGCUUUUGCUUGGUGUUUUUCCCAGAUUGCAGGCCAACGUCGGUUUUGGGCACUGGAGAAGGGUAGGAGGAACGUGGCACCUCUCGGGGUGUGUUAUAGCCUCCUACUGGAUACAGCGACCGAGACCGAGGACAGCAGCGUACUCGCAAGAGCGGGCCUUCGGGCACCUUUACGCUUAGGGCGUUGGCAUAAUGGCCCUCUACCACCCGUCUU
rnacentral:rRNA from 1 species